UAGGGAAUCUUCCAGCAAUGGACGAAAGCCUGACGGAGCAACGCCGCGUGAGUGAUGAAGGCCUUCGGGUCGUAAAGCUCUGUUGUCAGGGAAGAACAAGUACCGGAGUAACUGCCGGUACCUUGACGGUACCUGACCAGAAAGCCACGGCUAACUACAUGCCAGCAGCCGCGGUAAUUA
rnacentral:rRNA from 1 species